UGGGGAAUCUUGGACAAUGGGGGAAACCCUGAUCCAGCCAUGCCGCGUGAGUGAUGAAGGCCCUAGGGUUGUAAAACUCUUUCGGCGGGGACGAUAAUGACGGUACCCGCAGAAGAAGCUCCGGCUAACUUCGUGCCAGCAGCCGCGGUAAUACGAAGGGGGCUAGCGUUGUUCGGAAUUACUGGGCGUAAAGCGCGCGCAGGCGGUCCUUUAAGUCGGGGGUGAAAGCCCAGAGCUCAACUCUGGAACUGCCUUCGAAACUAGAGGACUUGGGUACGGGAGAGGUGAGUGGAAUUCCGAGUGUAGAGGUGAAAUUCGUAGAUAUUCGGAAGAACACCAGUGGCGAAGGCGGCUCACUGGCCCGUUACCGACGCUCAGGCGCGACAGCGUGGGGAGCAAAC
rnacentral:rRNA from 1 species